GUGGUAAUACCGGAUGCUCCGCUCCAUCGCAUGGUGGGGUGGGAAAUGCUUUUGCGGCAUGGGAUGGGGUCGCGUCCUAUCAGCUUGUUGGCGGGGUGAUGGCCCACCAAGGCGUUGACGGGUAGCCGGCCUGAGAGGGUGACCGGCCACAUUGGGACUGAGAUACGGCCCAGACUCCUACGGGAGGCAGCAGUGGGGAAUAUUGCACAAUGGGCGCAAGCCUGAUGCAGCGACGCCGCGUGCGGGAUGGAGGCCUUCGGGUUGUAAACCGCUUUUGUUCAAGGGCAAGGCACGGUUUCGGCCGUGUUGAGUGGAUUGUUCGAAUAAGCACCGGCUAACUACGUGCCAGCAGCCGCGGUAAUACGUAGGGUGCGAGCGUUAUCCGGAUUUAUUGGGCGUAAAGGGCUCGUAGGCGGUUCGUCGCGUCCGGUGUGAAAGUCCAUCGCCUAACGGUGGAUCUGCGCCGGGUACGGGCGGGCUGGAGUGCGGUAGGGGAGACUGGAAUUCCCGGUGUAACGGUGGAAUGUGUAGAUAUCGGAAAAAAAACACCA
rnacentral:rRNA from 1 species